GUAGGUGAACCUGCGGAAGGAUCAUUAACACGUAUCCACGUUAUCAACCAAUGGGCAACCUUUUUCACUGCACUCGCAUAGAGCUAUGCACUACACGUCGGGAUUUGAUACCGUGGUGUGCUCGACUGCGAGUUGUUUCCAAUUACGAUUGGAUCACUCCUCACUACCCCACUAACACCUCCUUCAUUAGUUGUCUAUUUAUUUGCUGCUUUACAUUGACGUUAAUUCCUCUCUGUGACGCGCACGUUUACUUAUCUGAACGUUAAAAUACAACUCUUAGCAAUGGAUAUCUUGGUUCUC
rnacentral:misc_RNA from 1 species